UGCCCCAUGGCCUAAUUGGUUAAGGCGUCCGACUGUUAAUCGGGAGAUUGAGAGUUCAAGCCUCUCUGGGGCAG
rnacentral:tRNA from 1 species